rnacentral:rRNA from 1 species
CGUGAACGCUGGCGGCGUGCCUAAUACAUGCAAGUCGAACGAUGAAGUCCUAGCUUGCUAGGAUGGAUUAGUGGCGCACGGGUGAGUAAUAUAUAGUUAAUCUGCCCUACACAGAGGAACAACAGUUGGAAACGGCUGCUAAUACCUCAUACUCCUAUUUGACAUAAGUUAAAUAGGGAAAGUCUUUUCGGUGUAGGAUGAGACUAUAUCGUAUCAGCUAGUUGGUAAGGUAAUGGCUUACCAAGGCUAUGACGCGUAACUGGUCUGAGAGGAUGAUCAGUCACAUUGGAACUGAGACACGGUCCAAACUCCUACGGGAGGCAGCAGUAAGGAAUAUUGCGCAAUGGGGGAAACCCUGACGCAGCAACGCCGCGUGGAGGAUGACACUUUUCGGAGCGUAAACUCCUUUUAUCAGGAAAGAAUAAUGACGGUACCUGAUGAAUAAGCACCGGCUAACUCCGUG